rnacentral:rRNA from 1 species
AGAGUUUGAUCAUGGCUCAGAAUGAACGUUGGCGGCGUGGAUUAGGCAUGCAAGUCGAGCGGGUAUAGCAAUAUAUCAGCGGCGAAAGGGAGAGUAACGCGUAGUUACGUGCCCCAGGGUUCGGAAUAGCCACGGGAAACUGUGGGUAAUGCCGAAUAACAUCUCCGGAUUAAAGGUGUGAUUCCGCCCUGGGAGCGGACUGCGUCCUACUAGCUAGUUGGCGGGGUAAUGGCCCACCAAGGCGACGAUGGGUAGCGGGUGUGAGAGCAUGACCCGUCUCACUGGGACUGAGACACUGCCCAGACACCUACGGGUGGCUGCAGUCGAGAAUCUUCGGCAAUGAGCGCAAGCUUGACCGAGCGACGCCGCGUGCGGGAUGAAGGCCUUCGGGUUGUAAACCGCUUUCGGUUGGGAGGAAAUCGCUAGGGGUUCUCCCCUAGUGUUGACCUAUCUUCGGAAGAAGGACGGGCUAAGUUCGUGCCAGCAGCCGCGGUAAUACGAACCGUCCAAACGUUAUUCGGAUUUAUUGGGCUUAAAGGGUACGUAGGCGGCGCUGUUAGUCGGGUGUGAAAUCCCUCGGCUCAACCGAGGAACUGCGCCCGAUACUGCAGUGCUUGAGGGAGACAGAGGUAAGCGGAACUGAUGGUGGAGCGGUGAAAUGCGUUGAUAUCAUCAGGAACACCAGUGGCGAAAGCGGCUUACUGGGUCUCUUCUGACGCUGAGGUACGAAAGCUAGGGGAGCGAACGGGAUUAGAUACCCUAGUAGUCC